AGUAAAAAGAGAAAAACUCAUCGAUUAAAGAAAAAAGACAAAACUCUACCGACAGACGCCUUCUCCACUUUUCCUUUUCUCCGAAGCUUCUCUGAGAUCAGAAAAGAAUUUCACGAUCUUGUUUCCGAUCCAAGGCAGAACAACGAAAUCGAUAGAAUAAUCUUUUGACUUGUUCAUCCCUGUGGGUAUUGUUGAAGCGGCUUGCGAAGAUACCAAGAUUAAAUCAUAUUUAUUAAGCGAACGGAACAGAGCAUGCCAUCUCAGAUCUGUUCAGAUCUUCUUAAGAACUUGGAUCGAAGAAUAAGUCAAAGAUCUGACAGAAGCAUGAAAAAAGUCAAACAGACGUUUCAAAACUCAGUAGAUCGACAGAGGAUUUCACCAUACCCUAUAUCUAGCUGAAGGCAAAAUCCGGAGAAGUAAGAUGAGUCUGAGAUGAAAGACAACGAAAAGAUACCUUAUACAUAUUAGAUUGGAAAGAUUUGGAAGAGUUCGAAGACGAUCUGAAGCAAUCAAAACUUUAUUGUUUUAAAUUUUAAAUGAACAAUGCUGAAUGUUGAAUAAAGAUGAAGGACAUGGGACAGAGACAUGACUGCAAAGCGAUACGAAACAUUAUAUGAGAAACAAAAGAACCAACCAUUUUUUGAUGAAUGUUGAUUGCAGUAUAUCUCUCUAUAGCUUUAUUUUUUGGGUUAUACAUGAGAAACAAUAUAUGUUUUAUACUUUGUGAGUUCAUUUAAUAGUAUAGUCACAGUUAAUGUGCAGGUCGAGCUAUCAAAGGUUUAGAGGCAGAAGUUUUAUACUCUCAAAGAAUGGUUGGUUGUGCGGAAGGCUCCUCCUGCCGGCCUAACAUGAAAGUUGCGGAUGCAUGUUGCGGCAAACUCCAACCAGAAGAUCACUUACUUUACUCUCAAUUGUUUUCAUAUCAGGUAUAGGGUUUGACAAAGCAGAAGAUGAUUUCGAUGUGGUUUUCAGUUUGAUCAUCAUUUUAUAUUGUGAUGGGCUGAAAAAUUAUUUUAUUUAUGUUUUGAAUAAAAAAAGCCUGCACUUAUGGAUUUACUUUGUAAUACUCGGUAAUGGGCUUUAAAAUGUUUUGAUAUUGAUAUGGUUUAAAAAUCGAAGAACUGUGAUUGGUUAGUAUUAAUGUGGCGACAUAAAAAAAGGAAAGGCAGUGGCAGAGGGUUGUAAUUAUUUAGAAAAAACAGUGGCAAAAACCUAUUAGGUAUUUUGCUUUAAUAGUAUAGAUAGAUAAGCGAUUUUUUCUAGCUAGUACGUGCAGACUUGCAGUGUUAGCCAAAAUCGGGGAUCUCAAUUUUGCAUUUGAAGUGUACAUAUAUAUGUGUAAGCAUAUGUGAUCAAUGACACGUACAAUCAAUAAAUAGCUUUUAGAACUCUCGGGGCCGGUCCAUUCCUAAUAAAUCCAAAAAGUUAUCAUUAAAUCCAGUCACAUGUAAGCUUUCGGUGAUUUUUCGUAUUUUUGUUAUUUUGUUCCUUAAAGGAAGAAAAAAAAAAGAGAGAUAGGAAUUUAAGUGGGAUAUGAAUAUGUACUUACAAGGCUUUCAAAUAUAUUUACAUCAGUUCUUAGAAAAAUACAGGUAACUUUUUCCCAAACUAUAUAUUAGUAUCACAUAUAACAAUAAUUUUAAAUGAAAUAACUAACUAAGGAGCAACAAAAGUGGGAAAGAUCGGCGGUGGCGGCACGUGGACGAGUAGGGAACAUUACCCAACUCGUUUCCACAUUUCUAAGCAAUGGUGAGAGACUGGAGGAUUGACGUGACAGCAGCUGAAGAUGGUCAUGUUCUUCGGUUCUUGAGAACGACGUGAUGCAGAGAUUAUUACGUUAGAGCAGUCAGCUGAUGAGGCGAGCUAGGUAGCUGGUUCGCUGCGAGGUUCAGCUUCCCAGCGUUGGCAACAGUGUCUCCACCUUGUCGACAGCGAAGCCCAAACCAUCAAAAGCUUAAAGUCUGGUCCGAUUUCGGUGCUUCUGCCAAGGUUCGAUUUUUCUUUUCUUUCAGUACAGACUGUUUCCGUUUGCAGGCUAAGGAGUGAGACAUGGUCGCUCGUGAAGCUGUUCCGGUCAGGAAUGCAUCGUCGGUGUCGAUGUGCUGGUCCUAGCACUGAACUCUUAUCUCUUUGUGGCGAGCGCUUGUGUUUUAUAUGUUAAUCUUUAUUAGGAAUAGCUAAUAUCCGGGCUUAUGUUUCUCACUAGUGUGGUCGAAUGCUAGGGGUGAAAAAGACAACUCUUUAUAUGUUAUGGAUUUUGUUUUUACUGGGUUUAGUUACAUCAAAA